rnacentral:rRNA from 1 species
AGAUUGAACGCUGGCGGCAUGCUUUACACAUGCAAGUCGAACGGUAACAGGCCGCAAGGUGCUGACGAGUGGCGAACGGGUGAGUAAUGCAUCGGAACGUGCCCAGUCGUGGGGGAUAACGCAGCGAAAGCUGUGCUAAUACCGCAUACGAUCUAUGGAUGAAAGCGGGGGACCGAAAGGCCUCGCGCGAUUGGAGCGGCCGAUGUCAGAUUAGCUAGUUGGUGGGUAAAGGCCCACCAAGGCGACGAUCUGUAGCUGGUCUGAGAGGACGACCAGCCACACUGGAACUGAGACACGGUCCAGACUCCUACGGGAGCAGCAGUGGGGAAUUUUGGACAAAUGGG